rnacentral:rRNA from 1 species
UGCAAGUCGAGCGGACAGAUGGGAGCUUGCUCCCUGAUGUUAGCGGCGGACGGGUGAGUAACACGUGGGUAACCUGCCUGUAAGACUGGGAUAACUCCGGGAAACCGGGGCUAAUACCGGAUGCUUGUUUGAACCGCAUGGUUCAAACAUAAAAGGUGGCUUCGGCUACCACUUACAGAUGGACCCGCGGCGCAUUAGCUAGUUGGUGAGGUAAUGGCUCACCAAGGCAACGAUGCGUAGCCGACCUGAGAGGGUGAUCGGCCACACUGGGACUGAGACACGGCCCCAGACUCCUACGGGAGGCAGCAGUAGGGAAUCUUCCGCAAUGGACGAAAGUCUGACGGAGCAACGCCGCGUGAGUGAUGAAGGUUUUCGGAUCGUAAAGCUCUGUUGUUAGGGAAGAACAAGUACCGUUCGAAUAGGGCGGUACCUUGACGGUACCUAACCAGAAAGCCACGGCUAACUACGUGCCAGCAGCCGCGGUAAUACGUAGGUGGCAAGCGUUGUCCGGAAUUAUUGGGCGUAAAGGGCUCGCAGGCGGUUCCUUAAGUCUGAUGUGAAAGCCCCCGGCUCAACCGGGGAGGGUCAUUGGAAACUGGGGAACUUGAGUGCAGAAGAGGAGAGUGGAAUUCCACGUGUAGCGGUGAAAUGCGUAGAGAUGUGGAGGAACACCAGUGGCGAAGGCGACUCUCUGGUCUGUAACUGACGCUGAGGAGCGAAAGCGUGGGGAGCGAACAGGAUUAGAUACCCUGGUAGUCCACGCCGUAAACGAUGAGUGCUAAGUGUUAGGGGGUUUCCGCCCCUUAGUGCUGCAGCUAACGCAUUAAGCACUCCGCCUGGGGAGUACGGUCGCAAGACUGAAACUCAAAGGAAUUGACGGGGGCCCGCACAAGCGGUGGAGCAUGUGGUUUAAUUCGAAGCAACGCGAAGAACCUUACCAGGUCUUGACAUCCUCUGACAAUCCUAGAGAUAGGACGUCCCCUUCGGGGGCAGAGUGACAGGUGGUGCAUGGGUUGUCGUCAGCUCGUGUCGUGAGAUGUUGGGUUAAGUCCCGCAACGAGCGCAACCCUUGAUCUUAGUUGCCAGCAUUCAGUUGGGCACUCUAAGGUGACUGCCGGUGACAAACCGGAGGAAGGUGGGGAUGACGUCAAAUCAUCAUGCCCCUUAUGACCUGGGCUACACACGUGCUACAAUGGACAGAACAAAGGGCAGCGAAACCGCGAGGUUAAGCCAAUCCCACAAAUCUGUUCUCAGUUCGGAUCGCAGUCUGCAACUCGACUGCGUGAAGCUGGAAUCGCUAGUAAUCGCGGAUCAGCAUGCCGCGGUGAAUACGUUCCCGGGCCUUGUACACACCGCCCGUCACACCACGAGAGUUUGUAACACCCGAAGUCGGUGAGGUAACCUUUAUGGAGCCAGCC